rnacentral:rRNA from 1 species
AACGAACGCUGGCGGCAGGCCUAACACAUGCAAGUCGAGCGGACCCUUCGGGGUUAGCGGCGGACGGGUGAGUAACGCGUGGGAAUAUGCCCUUCUCUACGGAAUAGUCCUGGGAAACUGGGGGUAAUACCGUAUACGCCCUUUGGGGGAAAGAUUUAUCGGGGAAGGAUUAGCCCGCGUUGGAUUAGGUAGUUGGUGGGGUAAUGGCCUACCAAGCCGACGAUCCAUAGCUGGUUUGAGAGGAUGAUCAGCCACACUGGGACUGAGACACAGCCCAGACUCCUACGGGAGGCAGCAGUGGGGAAUCUUAGACAAUGGGGGCAACCCUGAUCUAGCCAUGCCGCGUGAGUGAUGAAGGCCUUAGGGUUGUAAAGCUCUUUCAGCUGGGAAGAUAAUGACGGUACCAGCAGAAGAAGCCCCGGCUAACUCCGUG